rnacentral:rRNA from 1 species
CCUACGGGUGGCAGCAGUGGGGGAUAUUGCACAAUGGGGGAAACCCUGAUGCAGCGACGCCGCGUGUGGGAAGACGGUCCUCUGGAUUGUAAACCACUGUCCCCAGGGACGAAGAUGACGGUACCUGGGGAGGAAGCUCCGGCUAACUACGUGCCAGCAGCCGCGGUAAUACGUAGGGAGCGAGCGUUGUCCGGAAUUACUGGGUGAAAAGGGAGCGUAGGCGGGGAUGCAAGUUGGGUGUCAAAACUACCGGCUCAACUGGUAGUCGCACUCAAAACUGCAGCUCUUGAGUGAAGUAGAGGCAGGCGGAAUUCCUAGUGUAGCGGUGAAAUGCGUAGAUAUUAGGAGGAACACCAGUGGCGAAGGCGGCCUGCUGGGCUUUUACUGACGCUGAUGCACGAAAGCGUGGGUAUCAAACAGGAUUAGAUACCCGAGUAGUC